UCUACAAGAAGUUUUAUCUUAAUUGGAAGAGUUAUGGAAAUUUAGAUUGUUUUUGUGAAACCUCAGGUAAUUCUAUAUAUAAGUAAGAUAUAAUAGGUAUAAAACUCUUAACCUGAUUAUAACAUUUUGGGCGGUGGCUAAAUCUAAGAGGUUAAGAAAAUUAAGCGUGCUAAGGUUAGGAUAGUCCUAGAUGGGUGACCUCAUAGAAAAAGGGGCGUCAUAGUUUUCCAGUUGAUUCCUUUACCAUCAGAGUGUAUUUGGUUCGUGUUAUCCUGUCAAAAUUAUAGACAAUUCUAUCAAGAUUAUUGUAUUUAAUUCAUUCAGUUUGUAAUCUGGAUAUAAUCUGGAUAAUAUAGCACACACAAUUGGUGCAAGAUUAUUCUAAAAAUAUUACCGAUCGGAAAGAUAGAUAUUUCAUAUUACUGAUGACGGAUUAUCUUGUGCAUGUACAUGAAGAGUCGUCGUAAGUUUAUCAAAAUGAUUAUCCCAUCUUUUAAUGAAUAUAAUACAUUUACUCGCUCUCUCUCUAAACACAUUUAUC
rnacentral:lncRNA from 1 species